UUUACGCCGUUUAGUGAGAGUCCAAAUGUAUAUAUGAAGAAGUACCUUGACGCAUUAGCAGUCAUCGCUCUUAAGCGCUACAUUUCGGUUGAAAACUUCCAUCAUGUCCAAGAAAAUAGAAAAUGAGCAACAAAUUCACUGAUCGACAGGUGAUUUAGUUUUCAUCAGAAAUGAAGAAUGAAAAGUCACAGAACAAGACGCUGACAAUGAUGAUUACUAGCUGUAUGUAUAGUACAUACAUACUAUGUGUAUAUCCAGAUAUGCGAUCGAGUUGGAAAAUAUGAGU